GGAGGAUUCUGAGGAUGAUAUCAUUAGCCGUUGUUCAAAAAGGAAGAGGAGAUCUCCCAGCAGAUACACUGACCAUGAAAGUUCUGAAGAGGACUGCUUUAGUUCAAGGGCUAAGACAAAAGCUUCCAGCAGUAUCAGGGAUGUGGAGGUAAAAUCCAAAGACCAGAUUGCAAGACCAGUUCCACCUAGGCCAUCUGUACCGAGCUGUAUUGUGUCACAGCCACAGCUACCACCACCUGAGAGUCUGGAUGUAAAUGCCCGAGAUGCAAGAAUCUUUAUGGUGUUGGAAGAACUACGUGCUAUACUGCAUUCCCACUCCACCAAGCUGAAUACUCUCCUCAGACACCACAGUGUGCAAGAACAAGAUCAAGCAGUACCAGAGGGCAUUCACUUCCCUGUGAAGGAUAUGAAUGAAAUGGAAGCCCUAGAAAGCAAACUGAUGGAUCCUGACCUAGAGAAGAAAGUUAUUGCAAGUCUGUAUGUAAUAGGUGGAUCAGGUCUUCCAGACACAGUGAGGCGCAUUCUGCGAUACACUGUGAGCAACUCCUUGGCCAUCCACUUCAAUUGGUGUGGCAAAGGAAUGAAACGGAGCUUUUGCACAAUGAAGCUGAAGGAUACAAUAAUUAAUUUGAGUAUAUUGAAGUUUACUGAGUUAAAGGCAGAUUUCCUAUUGACAGAAAGUGUCCGCAAGAAUGCAGAGCACAAGAGUGCAACAGCUGCCUCAAUUGAAAAAGUAAUGAAGGAGUGGUUUCGAACAGCCAGAGAUCGAGAUGGAGGCCGUCGGAGGAGAGAUGUAAGAACUUGUGAGAGCAGUGAUACUACCUAGACUUUCUGGCAUUGCAUAUUCAAAGUUCUCUCUCUUGCUCUCUCUUUGUGCAUUAAUGCAUCAUAAAAUACUCAGUUUACUGGUACCAUUCCAGGCUUUCAUGCCACAGUGACACCACACAUUCCAGUCUCCCUCCAUGUAUCCUGAAGCUCUCAUCCCACUUCUCCAUUCACCUUAACAUGCACCUGUAUCCCUUUGAUGUGCUUUCACACCUCUUAAUGAUCUACCUGCUCCAUAUGCACACCUCCCGUCACAUUCCACAUAGCCCACAGUCAGUCCUGUUAGAUGCAUUUUCCUCAUUUAUAAAUGCCUGUACCUUAAUUUCAUUCUUUUGGCUGUAAUGUUUCAUCUGUACAUUAGUAGUUAAUUGAAAUGUUGUGGACAGCAUUGCUGUAAUGGAAGCCACUUUUAUUUUUUUAAUUUUUUUUAUAUUUUAUUUUCUUUUUUUUUCUGUAGGAUGUAGGGAUAGGAUUAUUAUGAUAUUAAUUAUGUAAAUACUCAGUUUAGGAAUAGAGCUCAGGAUAGCUAAUGGUAAUUUUGUACUUAACACUGAUGCAAAGAUUAGGCAUUUGUUAUUGCUUGUUUCAAGGGUGCUCGCAGUGUUUUCAUGUUGCUGACUAAUGAUUAAUACUUGUGGUGCUGAGAAUUAUAUUGGUGAAAGAAUACUAAUUGUUCAGUUCUUAAAGAAAUCUUUUUUUGUAGCUACACACAAUGUAUUACCAAAGUGUGUGUGUGUGUGUGUGUGUUUUAGCUGUUCAGUAUUAAAUUGUUUUAAGUUC